GACGAACGCUGGCGGCGUGCUUAACACAUGCAAGUCGAACGGAAAGGCCCUGCUUUUGUGGGGUGCUCGAGUGGCGAACGGGUGAGUAACACGGGAGUAACCUGCCCUUGACUUUGGGAUAACUUCAGGAAACUGGGGCUAAUACCGGAUAGGAGCUCUUGCUGCAUGGUGGGGGUUGGAAAGUUUCGGCGGUUGGGGAUGGACUCGCGGCUUAUCAGCUUGUUGGUGGGGUAGUGGCUUACCAAGGCUUUGACGGGUAGCCGGCCUGAGAGGGUGACCGGCCACAUUGGGACUGAGAUACGGCCCAGACUCCUACGGGAGGCAGCAGUGGGGAAUAUUGCACAAUGGGCGGAAGCCUGAUGCAGCAACGCCGCGUGCGGGAUGACGGCCUUCGGGUUGUAAACCGCUUUCGCCUGUGACGAAGCGUGAGUGACGGUAAUGGGUAAAGAAGCACCGGCUAACUACGUG
rnacentral:rRNA from 1 species